ACUAAGGAUGGCUAAAAAUGGACAAAAAAACUGAGUAACGGUACAUAACAAUUGACUUGACGAUAAUUAGGUAUAUAUAAUCAACGAACGUACAUGUGUACUGUGUGUUUUGACCUUGUUAGUUACAGUUUUCUUCUUUAUUUUAUGUUUUAAAAUCGAUGAAGUAAAAUUAAUUAGUAUUCAGUAUCAAAGGAAAAACAUCAAGUUAACGAUUAUUAAUGCAUAUAAGAAUCAUGUGAAUGUUAAAUGUUUACUGACUCAUGUAGGAAUGGUUGAAUCUUUCACUCGGCGGCUCAUGCCACAUAAAAAUGAUUUAUUCUUCCGCGUAUGAAUUGAGUAUGCUGUUGAAUCCGUCUAAUUGAAUCAUCAUUGGUGUACGUAAAUGUAAUUAAAUAAUAGAAACAUUGAAUCGGUCUAAUGAAACCUAAUAAGCUGUGAUGUUUUUAAGCCAUCACUGGUUUAAUAAAAUAAUGGAAACAUGUGAUUAGAGAUAUGGCAGCGGAGAUGAGUGGUUAUUAUAUGCAUGCAGUGUUCUAAAAAUCGGUUGGCUCUUAUACGCCCGCCUAAUCGGUAAAUCUUGUAUGAACGAAACGAUUUUUUCAAACUGAUUUUUUUUUAAAAAAGAUUGGUCUAGACAUAUAAAAAAUCAGUUUAGACGACCGCCUAAACAAUAAUAUUCUAUAAAACGCAUAAUCACCGCUUACAACAUUGUAUUGUAUGCAAGUAAUUAAUACCUAUUAUACUUUGCAAAUAGAAAUUACAAAAGGAAAAGAAAAACAUAAUACAUUACCAAGUAGAAAAGUGUAGUCCAGAAUACCUUUUUUAAGACACAAUUUACUUUCAUUAAUCUUUAAAUUUUUUAACUACAAUAACUAAAUUGAAUUUUUCAUACUAUUAAAACUACAACAAUAUAAAACGCAUUCAAGCUUCUGUGUUUUCUGCAUUUUUCUUGCAAAAAGUUUCAAUUAUGUGAUUUUUAAAUAUAAAUUGUUAGAUAUAUAGUGUUAUAAGAGCAUCAUUAGCAGAAAGUCUCUCAAAGGGAAUUUCUAAAGAAUAUUAUGUAUUGUUAUCAACACAUAAGCAACCAAAGAGAACCAAUCCAUUAAACAAUAACUUUCCGAGCAUAGACGCUUCGAUAACUUCAUGACUAUCGGCACCGAUCAAUUUAAUCUCCAGCAUAAUCAGGAGUGAAGCACUGGAUACUCUUACCGACAAAAUUUCGCUGGAUGUCGACCCGGUGAUGCCUCCUGCUUGGAUAUCUCCCUCGAGGUUACAUGGAUUGAAAAGGAUUUGUACCUAUCGGGUUUUCUUUGCCGUGGGAUCAUGUACAGGUCGUGCUGACGAUGGUGGCACAGACGGCGGUUAAAAGCAAUCGUCGUCGUCAAAGGACGCUGCAAACUUAACGAUUCAUGGGAUGAAGUUUACUAAAUUCACCGGUAUAGCAUCUCAACUGAAGAUGUUAACUCGAGACCUGAACCGGAUCCGAGAAGGGAUGGAUUUGUGGUAUCUGGGUUGAGUUUCAGUUUCUACGAUGGAAAGAGUCAACUUUAACAAGAGAACGGUUCCAAUGAACAAAAAUUCCUUGAAGCUUCAGUGUCUUAUGUCUGUGGAAACCCAAUCAUGAGUGGAAAAAAUAUGAUAAGCUGAAAAUGAAACUAAAUAUGGACGAAAGUAAAAUUGUGUUGGAGGGUCCAAGAUGCAGUCUUCAUAGUAAUAAAAAGGUAAAAGUUAUAAGAAGAAUGUCAAGGUAUAUUCCUUAGGAUACUUCAUUAUGUUUUUUUUCAACUACCUUCAUUAUGUUCUUAAGACUUUAUACUUAUGUUCUCAUAACAGAAGUUUUAUUGGUUGGAUUCCGGAUUAUGCUGGUUUACAGUGAUCUGCCGUAGAUUCUUUUAAAUUUAUCUUGUGGAAUAUACCAGCCACUGUUGUUGCGUUCAUACUGUGAGUGUCGGUUUUGUUCCCCUCUCAAAUUUCAAAUCACUUGAUCUCAAAUGCCUUAAAUUGUUUAUUUUUUCAAUUGGUGUUCUCCAAAUUUUUCUUCCUUGAUGACCUUACAGGUUUUGAAAUCACGUCUUGCUCGAGGUAAAACCUCCUUUGACUCUUCUUUUAUGGUUUAGUAGAUUUUUCUUCCUUGAUGACCUUAAGGGUUUUGAAAUCACGUCUUGCUCGAGGUAAAACCUCCUUUGACUCUUCUUUUAUGGUUUAGUGGAUGUAAUACUCGUAAUGGUUCAAGUUUUCUUGCAAUACUUGUAAAGCUAAAACCAAAUGUGCAGCUUAUUACAAAACCAUAAAUUUUAAUUUGGUUAGCUGUGGUGCCUGCAAUUGUAUAUCCAGUGCUAUCACUCACCAAGCUGAUCAUCAAGGACUUCUUAUUUUUGAAGGUAUAAUAUUGGUCCUCUCAGAUCAGUUUUUGAUCCGGAAAAACAAGAGAUUGUACUCAUGAUAAGGAGUGUCGAGAUGAUGAUGACAACAUCGAAGAGUUCUCUUUUCCAGAGGGUAAAAUUAUAUUUGAGUUUUGCUUCUCUUUACCAUGUUAUGUGUGAGAUGAAUUUUGUGAAAACUUUACUUCUCUAAAGAAAGUAAUUAGUCAUUUUUCAUUAUUCGGUUUAGAGUUCAAUCUCUUAUAAUAGCAACAAAAUGAGAUAAUUUUUCUACCCAAAUAAUAUAUAAUGUGAAUCGAAAAGUUGGUCCGAGAUGGAUGAAACAUAGUUUUUAGGAAAAAUGAUAGGCAACUACCUAAAGUAUCGGUCACCACAUGGCUGACCAUGCAAAGUAAAGAAAUGCCCACUUAACUACACGAAGUAAAUGUUAUGCAUACUAUCAUCCCUGAACUUUAUGUUGUUAUGUAGCCAACAUCAUUAGCUUAAUUUAAUUAGUCAGAAAUCGCCACGUGGACGUCAAAGAUGGUAACACCGUAUGAUUAGCUGUUUGGUUAGUUCUAAAACUGACCCACCUGACCCAAAUUAAAAUAAAAACCAACCUAGUCGUUUGUUCUCUUCAUCUCCAUUACUACAACCCCGUUUUCCCACCUUCUGAUGCUUCAAUUCCAUAUGAAAGAAAUUGACAGUGACAAUUAGUUCACUUAUCUGUUUCUUCUUUUCAAGGGUUUCAUCUCGUGCUUCAAGCAAAGCCCUCUUUGGCCAACCAUUAACUUCUUCUUCAUCAAGCCACUCGCAGUAAGAACAAUGCUUAUUCCUUUCUUCCUUAUGAAACAACAAAACAUGUUACAACUGAUAUCACUCAAAUUAGCCUAUAAGUGAUUUGUACUCUCUCAAAUAAGAGGCCGAGUUGCAGUACUUAGGGAUCGAAUUCACAGGGAGCUAAGGCACACACUAGAUCUACGUACUAGUUAUGUGGUUAAGCUAGGCAAACAGGUUUUAAAUGUGAAUAGCAAGGUUGUGAACAAGUAAUUGUUCAGUUGAUUGAUUGAGGUUUUAAGACAUAUGGAAAGCGUUAGACUUAGGGUUUCUAUUCAGACAAUCAGGAUUAUAGAGAUAUAAAUACUAAGAAUAUAUUGGAUAUUCUAGAACUCAAACAAUAAGAAUAGUCUAUCAACUUCCGUAUUUUUAAGCUAUCUAUUGCCGGAUCUAGGACCUCAGAUGUCGCUUGUUGGUCCUAAGAAAGUGUCCAUCGAUUCCAACAAUGGGGUGUCGAUCGAUACACCUUUCAGCCCAACGAUCGAUACAACUAAUAAGUUGUCGAUCGAUGAACCUUCCAGGGAGCGUUACACACGGACUUGACGUGUUCACUAGGUUUAACUAAAUUAGCUUCCGCUUGUUUCUAGCAAUCCUAGCACAAUCUAAAGUAAUUCAGAAAGAGAACCAAACUUCCGCUUGCGCCCUAAUAUUUAUAGGCAAGGUUCUAGUUAGAUACUCUAGAACACAUGCAUUAAGAAUAGUUUAAUUGAUGGAUAUCCUAAUACUUAGCAAUUCUAUAUUUUGGGCUAAUCCGUCAUGAAUAUCUAAAAAAUCUAACAAGGACAACUACUCAGACAUGACUAGACAAUCUCUGGGUCGAUCGAUUAUCAUCCUCUAUCAUCGAUCGCUAGGCUGGUCGAUGGCCAGCUACGAUUCUUUAUCAUUUUAUUUUCAAAAUGCACCAAAAUCACCAUGUUCCUCCAAAUCACUCCAAAACCUAAAAACAUACUGAAAAGACUUCAAAACAACUGUAAUGUAUCUAAAAACACUUAUAUACCAUGGCUAAAAAUGAGUAAAAUCCAUGGUAUAUCAACAACCCAUCUCAUUACUGGUAAAACAUCCCAAAAAUAAUUUGUUUGAUAUAACCUUCUAUAAUUCGCACCCAAAGAACCUUCGGCCUAAAUUCUUUUAUGUCCAAGCCGUGAAAUUUUUUUAUGGCAACCGACAAGCACAAAAUUUGCGACCACCAUAACCUUUGUUCCUACUGUUUCUUGAUGACCCUAAUUUUAGAUCUAUCUAUCAAACAACCGGUCAAUUACUCACAUCUCAUCUCACAAUCGAGCAAAAACAAAACAUCUCUGUAACGGGUUCAGUGAAUCUUAGCUGUUUAGCUCUAUGGAAUGGUGUCUCUUCACUUUGAUUUGUUUUGAUUUUGGGUCUCUGGUUUUCUUCGAUGUUGAGGAUGAAGAAGAAUGAAGCAACCGGUUCAGAUCAUAUUUGAUUGGGUUGUGUCGGAUUUUUUUUUAAAAAAAUUGGGUUGAUGUCGGGUUUUAAAUGUGGCCCAAUAACACUCUUCUCUUAAAAAUGGGCUGAGUUUUAUUUUAAUUUGGGUCAUGUGGGUCGGUUUUAAACUAAUCAAAUGGCUAAUCACACGGUGUUACCAUCUCCGACGUCCAUGUGACGAUUUCCUACUAAUUAAAUUAAGCUAAUGAUGUUGGCUACAUAACAACACAAAGUUCAGGGAUGUUAGCAUGCAUACCAUAUACUUCGUGUAGUUGAGUGUGUAUUUCUUUACUUUGCACGGUCAGCCAUGUGGUGGCCAAUAUUUCAGGUAGCUUGCUAUUACUUUUCCUAAUACUAUAUUCUAUUUUAUAGUACUUCAUGAGUCUCCCCUGAUAAUAUACAUGAUUGCAAGAGAAAUUUUUACACGAUUGUGAAUCAUACUUUUUUCUUUGCAAAAAGGUUUACCGUGAAUCAUACAUUUGAUACCAAAGAUGAUACGAAAGUUUUAUCGGCAUAUCUGCAUAAGAACAAUAUGUUUUUCGUAAUGACGUAAAUACGAGCAAUAUGCUGAUAAAACUUCAAGCAAAAGACACAAAAAGAAAUUCAACUAUUAAAAAAUACAAUACAAGAGCUUCAACUAAAGAAAAUACAAAACAAAACAAAACAAAACAAAAAAAUAUCAAAAGAGAGCCAAAUAAUAUUAUAGAAAGUUUGUGAAGAGAGAAUGAAUAGAAUAUGGUAAUGGGAAUAAUUUAUACAACAAAGUAAAAUAUAAAUAGUGUAAUAAUUUAAUGGAUUUAUUGUUGUUUAUAAAAUUAAAAACCAAAUAAAUAAAAUAAACACCUUCUAUGUAUCUGAGUUUUGAUAUUUAUUUUAAUGUGUUUUGCAUUUCAAUUAAUAUAUUUUAUCUUAAAAUUAAAAGUAGAAAAACAUAAAUGAUAAAACUAUUGUACAAACUAAGGGUGGGCAAAAAAACCGAACCGAACCGAGUCAAACCGAACCAACCGAAUCGAAACCGAUUCAACCCGAACCAAAGUCUAUUUCAAAUCAUUCGGUUGAAGAUUUCUCUAAUCUGAAUGGUUCGGUUUGGUUCGGUUUUAAACCGAACCGAACCGAGAAACUGAUGUAUUUUGUAAUUAUUUAAAUUAAAUAUAUUAGUAAUACCAAUAUACUAAAAUUCUAAUACUAAAUCACAUAUUUUCUAUUUUUCAUUCAUUAACAUAUAUUCUUCUAACCUAAUAUGUAAUCAUCAAAAUAUUUGAUUUUUUAAAAAAUAGAAAAUUUGUAUUCUUAUAUUCUUAUAUAUGUAAACAUGGAUGUUAAAUCUAAACCUAAAACGUAAAGCAAAUUUUAUUAAAAACAAAAGUUCUUCUCCAUGGCGUCUCUUUCCUCUACGUCUCAUGCAUAUUUUUCCUGCAUCUAGAUCUUUUUUGUGGUGUCAAUUCUAAAUAAUGGAAUCAUGGGUUUAGAGUAGUAAAGAUAUAAAUAAAUACUCGUAUAGUUUGUGUAUUGACAUAUACUAGUUAUUGAUUUGUUGCAUGCUUUUUGAUGAUAUCACAUAGAAGAUGAUUCAUUGCAGAUUUUUUUUAAUUUUAAUGAUAUAAAAGACAUUUCUAAUGAUGUUUGUUUUUUUUACUUUAGUUAACUUUCAUUUGUUUUAAUUCUUAUAUACUUUUUGUGACUUUUUUAAAGGUUUUU